rnacentral:rRNA from 1 species
CUCGUAGGCGGUUCGUCGCGUCCGGUGUGAAAGUCCAUCGUUUAACGGUGGAUCCGCGCCGGGUACGGGCGGGCUUGAGUGCGGUAGGGGAGACUGGAAUUCCCGGUGUAACGGUGGAAUGUGUAGAUAUCGGGAAGAACACCAAUGGCGAAGGCAGGUCUCUGGGCCGUCACUGACGCUGAGGAGCGAAAGCGUGGGGAGCGAACA